UUUUUGCGUUAGGGAUUGUAGCGGCAUCCUUUUUAAAAUUUGUGUAAAAACAACAUGGUGAGAACUUAAAAUUGGCAGAUUGCCACGUCCUACGUCCUCGCAAUGACAUUUUAAAAAGAUAUAGCGGAAAGCCCGACCCUUU
rnacentral:sRNA from 1 species